AGGGGUGGUGGUGGUGAUCAUUUCUUCCUUGUAUCUAGCACGUAUUCCUUUGGGUGGUAUUCCUUUGGGUGGUAUUAAGUCUCUUAAUCUUUGGAUCUAGCAUGUUUUCCUUUGGGUGGUAUUAAGUCUUAGUUCUUUGUAGGAUCUAGCAUGUCUUCCUUUCGGUGGUAUUAAUUCUAUAUUUCUUUGUAACGCAUGUCUUCCUUUGGGUGGUAUUAAAUCUUUUUCUUUUGUAUCUAGCAUGUAUUUCUUCGAGCAACUACAGAAACAGGCUGCCGUUCUUGUGCACUACAUCAACAGGCAUAUGAACGGGGGGACCGAGCAGCGUUGCGACAAAACGAAGCUGAGCGACAAGCAGAGGGAACCUCGGCGACGAGAGGUUAGAGCUUGCUGACCUGGAAGCUGAAACCGAACGAAUGCGACUUACCGCUCAAGUCAUAUGAACGGGAGGAGCUCGCGACAAGCACAGGGAAGAAGCUGAGCGACUUACCGCUCAAGGUAAGCCUGACGCUGUUACCAUCAGAGAUGUAGGUGUUCGUCCCACGUUACCAGGAAGACAUCGCUACAUACCUCACCCGUUUUGAGUGGCAGGGCUGUUAAAGCUCGAACCAAGUACGUAUGCUGUGAGGUUGGGAUGUCUCUUGACGGGCAAAGGUGAUCUAUAUAAGUCUCCCUCUCUUCUGAGACCACCAAUGAUUGACUUUCCCUAAAGCACUUCAUAAUACUCGACCAGUUCUCGGCUUCGCUGAAUCCUGACAUCCGCACCUUCAAAGAACACCGACCGUCGUCUCUUGCCCGAGUACUACAGCUAGCUGAUGACUGGGCAUCGGCACACUACACCAGCAAACCCUCCUUCAGGUCUUCCCCGCGAUCCUUCAAGCUUCCUCCCAAGAAAACGCUGCCUGUUCACUCGUCGCCUUCACCAACUUCUCCACUACCAGUAUGUGCUGUGCAGACUCGUGCCUCGACCACUAGCAUGAAGUGCCUCCACCCACUUCAUCUUCCGGGUACAUCUUCCGGGUCUCCAGCCUGUCUGUCAACUGAGGUAUUUGAAUAUUGCACAUGAAAAUCCUUUAGCUGGUCACUACCCUCAUCGCUAGACAGAGCAGAAGGUUGCUGACCACUUCUUAUGGCCAGGAAUGGGUACUGACAUCAGAGCACACUGUCGUUCUUGCGACAAGUGCCAGUGCUUUUCUCAAGAGACGCAUAAAACCUGCCCCCUUGCAGUCUGCCCAUCGUUGCCAAACCCUUUGCGCAGGAUGGUGAGGUGAUGUCAGGGCAGGCACCCACACGGACUAGCUCAUCCACCUACUGACUACUACUGAUGCUGCUACUAUUGUAUCUUUCAGGAGGAACGAGAUACAAUCUGCUACCCCUGCCACCACUGCUGCUACCCCUGCCACCACCGCUCCUACCUUUUCGCAUAUCCUUGUUUGUGGGGAUGUGUAAAGGCCCUCGUUAAGUUUGGAUCUCCGCCACCGUGAGGCUUCGGUACCACGAGGCUUGGCCUUAGCUCCGCCUUUUCCGAGCCUACGAUGAGAGGCUACGAUAAGGCCCAGGCAGAAACCAGCGCCUCCGUCUCUUGGUGAACUUGUCUCUCCAAGCGGAAGAGCCUCGUCUCUCCAAGCUGGUUCCUCGUCUCAGCGGAAGAGCCUCGUCUCUCCUAGCUGGUUCCUCUGCUUUGCGAAAGAGCAGCCAGCCUAGGCUCCUGCUUCUUUCCAUAUCUACAUCUGCCACCGCUGUCGUCUCCCUACUGCAUACCAGCUUCUGGACUUCACCUGCUGGCUUCUUGCCGAGUGGAUUUUCACUGGUGCGCCUUACCCCAGUGACUCUACACGCCGUCCUUGCACACAUCAGUGGUCUUCACCUGCUGGCUUCUUGCCGAGUGGAUUUUCACUGGUGCGCCUUACCCCAGUGACUCUACACGCCGUCCUUGCACACAUCAGUGGUUCGGUUAUGUGUUAUUGUCUGUUAAUACUCAUUCUGUUUUGUCUUCUUUUCCUAUCCAAAGGGCUACACUAACUAAUCCUGGCAUAAAAUCAUUUACUUUUGAGGACGAGAGAUCGUGGCCUCCCUUUUCCCUCACACUUAUUUAAUAGUGGUCUAUGUGAAUGAGGAGUCUAUGGAGUUGUUUGUUGUUUGCAUCAUUCUCGCUUAUGGGAAGUAGUGGGAAGCAAAUUGUCAUGGUACGGUAAGUCCAGAGAUUUAUUACUCGGUCUGAUCCAGGAGAAAACUUCUCUAAUAGAUGCCAAACUUGUACAUAGAUGCCAAACUUGUACACUUGCAACUCAUCUCCACUCGUAAUGACUAUUCAAAUUAAACGAGUAUUAUGUCCUUUCGGGAGAUUAACGCAGUAUCUCUAUCUAUUUAUCUGUAUCUAUCCAACUUUUUACUGAUAUCUCAAUCUAUCUGUUAUCCAUCCAUCCAUGUACACUACCAAUCCACGUUGAUAUGUAUUCUAACUUGGUAUCUCCGUUUUGUCUGUCUACCUACCUGUUUACCGACGUCUCAAUCCAUCUAUCUGUGAUCCAUCCAUGUAUACUAUCCAUCCACGCUAUGUAUUCUUUCUCCAGUACAACGAAUAAACAUGUCAAACUCCCAAUA
rnacentral:lncRNA from 1 species